GUCAAGUGGGGGCAACCCCUGAACGAGCAAUGCCGCGUGAGCGAAGAAGGUCUUCGGAUUGUAAAGCUCUGUUGACCGGGGAAAAAGGAAGGAAAGAGGAAAUGCUUUUUCUUUGGAUGGUACCCGGCCAGAAAGUCACGGCUAACUACGUGCC
rnacentral:rRNA from 1 species